UACGAAGGUGGCAAGCGUUGUUCGGAUUUACUGGGCGUACAGGGAGCGUAGGCGGUUGGAUAAGCCCUCCGUGAAAUCUCCAGGCUUAACCUGGAAAGUGCAGAGGGGACUGUUCAGCUAGAGGAUGGGAGAGGAGCGCGGAAUUCCCGGUGUAGCGGUGAAAUGCGUAGAGAUCGGGAGGAGGGCCGGUGGCGAAGGCGGCGCUCUGGAACGUACCUGACGCUGAGACACGAAAGCGUGGGGAG
rnacentral:rRNA from 1 species